UACGAAGGGGGCUAGCGUUGCUCGGAAUCACUGGGCGUAAAGGGCGCGUAGGCGGCCAGCACAAGUCAGUUGUGAAAUCUCCGAGCUUAACUCGGAAAGGUCAACUGAUACUGUGCGGCUAGAGUGCAGAAGGGGCAACUGGAAUUCCUGGUGUAGCGGUGGAAUGCGCAGAUAUCAGGAGGAACACCGAUGGCGAAGGCAGAUCUCUGGGCCGUAACUGACGCUGAGGAGCGGAAAGCAUGGGGGAGCGAACAGG
rnacentral:rRNA from 1 species